GACGAACGCUGGCGGCGUGCUUAACACAUGCAAGUCGAACGGAAAGGCCCUGCUUUUGUGGGGUGCUCGAGUGGCGAACGGGUGAGUAACACGUGAGUAACCUGCCCUUGACUUUGGGAUAACUUCAGGAAACUGGGGCUAUUACCGGAUAGGAGCUCCUGCUGCAUGGUGGGGGUUGGAAAGUUUCGGCGGUUGGGGCUGGACUCGCGGCUUAUCAGCUUGUUGGUGGGGUAGUGGCUUACCAAGGCUUUGACGGGUAGCCGGCCUGGGAGGGUGACCGGCCACAUUGGGACUGAGAGACGGCCCAGACUCCUACGGGAGGCAGCAGUGGGGAAUAUUGCGCAAUGGGCGGAAGCCUGAUGCAGCAACGCCGCGUGCGGGAUGACGGCCUUCGGGUUGUAAACCGCUUUCGCCUGUGACGAAGCGUGAGUGACGGUAAUGGGUAAAGAAGCACCGGCUAACUACGUG
rnacentral:rRNA from 1 species